CCUACGGGAGGCAGCAGUGAGGAAUAUUGGUCAAUGGACGAGAGUCUGAACCAGCCAAGUAGCGUGAAGGAUGACUGCCCUAUGGGUUGUAAACUUCUUUUAUCAAGGAAUAAAACGAGGCCCGUGUGCCUUUUGCAUGUACUUUAUGAAUAAGGAUCGGCUAACUCCGUGCCAGCAGCCGCGGUAAUACGGAGAAUCCGAGCGUUAUCCGGAUUUAUUGGGUUUAAAGGGAGCGUAGAUGGGUUGUUAAGUCAGUUGUGAAAGUUUGCGGCUCAACCGUAAAAUUGCAAUUGAUACUGGCAGUCUUGAGUACAGUUGAGGUAAGCGGAAUUCGUGGUGUAGCGGUGAAAUGCAUAGAUAUCACGCAGAACCCCGAUUGCGAAGGCAGCAUACCGGUGCACAACUGACGCUCAGGCACGAAAGCGUGGGUAUCGAACAGGAUUAGAUACCCCUGUAGUC
rnacentral:rRNA from 1 species